CAGCCGUAAACUAUGCGCGUUAGGUGUACUGGUGACCACGAGUCACCGGGGUGCCGAAGGGAAACCGUGAAACGUGCCGCCUGGGAAGUACGGUCGCAAGGCUGAAACUUAAAGGAAUUGGCGGGGGAGGCACCACAACGGGUGGAGCCUGCGGUUUAAUUUGGACUCAACGCCGGACAACUCACCGGGAACGACAGCAAUAUGUAGGCCAGGCUGAAGACCUUGCCUGAAUCGCUGAGAGGAGGUGCAUGGCGUAGACGUCU
rnacentral:rRNA from 1 species